UGCAUCUGCAGCCCAUGAGGAUGAGAACCUCCGGGGGCAGGGAGGUUCGACUCGAGCGAAGCGAGAGAACGUUGCGCCAGCAACGGCCCG
rnacentral:sRNA from 1 species